CCAGCGCAGGGGCAGUCACAGGAGCAGGACCAGGGCACAAGAUGGCUGUGUGCAUCCCCCACUGAGCUCAAGACUUGGUUCCAUUCCCGGGUAUCUGGGGGACUCUGCACGAGUUGCAAAACACCUCUGAGCCCUGGACCUUUUCUCCAUGGAGUCUGAACCUGCCCACCUAAGAACAUGUACUUUGGCAGACCCA
rnacentral:lncRNA from 1 species